rnacentral:rRNA from 1 species
AAUGGGCGCAAGCCUGAUCCAGCAAUACCGCGUGUGUGAAGAAGGCUCUAGGGUCGUAAAGCACUUUCAGUAGGGAGGAAAGGAGUGUAGUUAAUACCUGCAUUCUGUGACGUUACCUACAGAAGAAGCACCGGCUAACUCCGUGCCAGCAGCCGCGGUAAUACGGAGGGUGCAAGCGUUAAUCGGAAUUACUGGGCGUAAAGCGCGCGUAGGCGGAUUGUUAAGUCUCAUGUGAAAGCCCUGGGCUCAACCUGGGAACUGCAUGGGAUACUGGCAAUCUAGAAUACAGUAGAGGGUAGUGGAAUUUCAGGUGUAGCGGUGAAAUGCGUAGAGAUCUGAAGGAACAUCAGUGGCGAAGGCGACUACCUGGACUGAUAUUGACGCUGAGGUGCGAAAGCGUGGGGAGCAAACGGGAUU